rnacentral:rRNA from 1 species
UACGUAGGUCCCGAGCGUUGUCCGGAUUUAUUGGGCGUAAAGCGAGCGCAGGUGGUUUAUUAAGUCUGGUGUAAAAGGCAGUGGCUCAACCAUUGUAUGCAUUGGAAACUGGUAGACUUGAGUGCAGGAGAGGAGAGUGGAAUUCCAUGUGUAGCGGUGAAAUGCGUAGAUAUAUGGAGGAACACCGGUGGCGAAAGCGGCUCUCUGGCCUGUAACUGACACUGAGGCUCGAAAGCGUGGGGAACAAACAGG